AAUUUUACUUCUUAAUAAGACAAUUUAUUUACAUUUUGUUUGGGUCAAAAUUAGGCUAAAAUAAAGUCAAAAUCGUAUUAAUUUCGGUUAAAUUAUGGGUAAGUCAAACCGAAUGUAUAAUUAUCGGUUAACUGGUCGGUUCAAUUGGAGGCGUAGUUUUAAGAACAAAUCCGAAAGUACAUGUAGUUUUAUCGAGAUUAAAAUUGUUUAUGGUGGUUUUUCGAGUGGUUAAAAAUUUAGGGUGGAAAGUUGAAAUUCUAACUAGUAUAGGGUUGAAAAUUCAGGCAUCCCAUACAUCUAUUCAAAGUUAUAUUCUCGCUCAAAAGACAUUUGAUAUUUCUAAGAAGAAACAGGUCAAUUACAUGAAACCCGGUCUAUAUUGCAGUCAUAU
rnacentral:sRNA from 1 species